GACGAACGCUGGCGGCGUGCCUAACACAUGCAAGUCGAACGAGUGGCGAACGGGUGAGUAAUACGUGAGUAACCUGCCCUCUUUUUGGGAUAAGCCUUGGAAACGGGGUCAAAUACCGGAUAAAGGGGGAUGGGCUCGCGGCCUAUCGGCUUGUUGGUGGGGUGAUGUUCUACCAAGGCGGUGACGGGUAGCCGGCCUGAGAGGGUGACCGGCCACUUGUGGACGGAGAUACAGCCCAGAGUACUACGGGGGACAGCAGUGGUGGCUAUGGACGAAUGGGCGAAAGCGUGAUGCAGCGACACUGAGUAGGGGUUGAAGGCUUUAGGGUUGUAAACCUAUUUCGCUAUAAAUGGGUAGGUAAAGAAGAAGCGCCGGCUAACUACGUGCCAGCAGCCGCGGUAAUUC
rnacentral:rRNA from 1 species